rnacentral:rRNA from 1 species
AUACGGAGGGUCCGAGCGUUAUCCGGAAUCAUUGGGUUUAAAGGGUCCGUAGGCGGGAAUCUAAGUCAGUGGUGAAAUCUUGCAGCUCAACUGUAAAAUUGCCAUUGAUACUGGAUUUCUUGAAUUAGUGUGAAGUGGUUAGAAUGUGUAGUGUGCGGUGAAAUGCAUAGAUAUUACACAGAAUACCAAUUGCGAAGGCAGAUCACUAACACUAUAUUGACGCUGAGGGACGAAAGCGUGGGGAGCGAACAGGAUUAGAAACCCUAGUAGUCC